GAAGUCUGGCAGCGCUGCCAGACCAGUUUAGACUCUGACCUCCAGAACUGCAAGAUAAUAGAAGACUCCUCUGCUAUGAAUUUCCACAUAUUUUGGAUGAAGAAUUUGAAGGUCUCUUUGAGAUACCUCAACUCUAAAGGAGAUCUCUCUCUACUCUGCCUUCUCAGAAUGGCCCACAUCCAAUGAUUGACCAAUGGGGAAAUAUAAAGAUGAAGGCUCUACAUCAAACUCAUGACAACUCUGAUGGUCCAUUGCAAUUCCAUUGUAUCCUGAGAGGUGAUAUUCUGAAGACUGCAUGGUGUUUAUUACUUUAAAGUUUGUGUGUCUUAUCAUCUAAAUUAACGUGAUUUUCUUGAAGUUUUGAUUUGCAAUAUGGUUCCCACUCUGACUCUUCUGGAUAUUCUUUCAUCUUUGCACUGCAAUGCACAGGUGCCAGCUUAUCUUCCUCUUAAGGGUGAUUAAUGAAAUGCCGUAAAUCCUCUUAGGCACUGAUAAAUAGUAACAUAUGCUUCACAUCUUGUGGCAUCAGAGCAUUAGAGCGGACCACUAGCUCAAAGAAACUGGACCAUUCACCAAAUGUGCCUGCACUCAGAAGCCUGCACUAUAGUAUUUAUAGGUCAUAAAGAGAUGCCUAACUCUGAGAUAUAUAUUUUUAUUCUGCAAUGGUUCUGUAUUGAUGAAAUUCCUUUGAAGAAAAUUGCAUAAAGAAAAUGAAUAAGAAUAAAUGCAAG
rnacentral:lncRNA from 1 species